rnacentral:rRNA from 1 species
UUUUUUGGAGAGUUUGAUCCUGGCUCAGGACGAACGCUGGCGGCGUGCUUAACACAUGCAAGUCGAAC